rnacentral:rRNA from 1 species
GAUGAACGCUGGCGGCGUGCCUAAUACAUGCAAGUCGAGCGAAUGGAUUAAGAGCUUGCUCUUAUGAAGUUAGCGGCGGACGGGUGAGUAACACGUGGGUAACCUGCCCAUAAGACUGGGAUAACUCCGGGAAACCGGGGCUAAUACCGGAUAACAUUUUGAACCGCAUGGUUCGAAAUUGAAAGGCGGCUUCGGCUGUCACUUAUGGAUGGACCCGCGUCGCAUUAGCUAGUUGGUGAGGUAACGGAUCACCAAGGCAACGAUGCGUAGCCGACCUGAGAGGGUGAUCGGCCACACUGGGAAUGAGACACGGCCCAGACUCCUACGGGAGGCAGCAGUAGGGAAUCUUCCGCAAUGGACGAAAGUCUGACGGAGCAACGCCGCGUGAGUGAUGAAGGCUUUCGGGUCGUAAAACUCUGUUGUUAGGGAAGAACAAGUGCUAGUUGAAUAAGCUGGCACCUUGACGGUACCUAACCAGAAAGCCACGGCUAACUACGUGCCAGCCGCCGCGGUAA